CCAGGGUUUGUCUCUGCUGAGAGAUGCUAAUGUUGAUAAAUGCUCCAUCUCCAUACAGUUGUGCCGUCCCAGCCCCCCAGUUAGGUGUGAAAAGCCUUUGGAGAUUGGCUGCUGCACCAUGGCCCUGAGUGUUGCUCAGUCAAAAUGAAGGUUUGAAUUUCCUUAUUUGGGCCAAGAGUGUUAUGUGAGCUGGAUGGACCAACUAGCUCUUAAAGGCAAGAUUGUGCACCCUGAGUGGACAAAGCCAGGCAGCAGCGUGCCUCCCAGCAUGGUGUCUGAGCCACACUGACAACGGUCUGCGAGGAACAUGCCCUGUGAUCCCACAAUACUCACAGCGAGGUCAGUAUGAAGGAUGAUGAGCACUGGUGCAGGGCACUGUGUACCAACAGAUACGGCCGAGCGUCCCGCACAUCACCAACAGCAAGAAACCAAGAAACUGGAAUCUGGGACGAAUUUGGCCAGCAAGGAGAAGGGUCCAGCAGUUAGCAACUGUAUUUAAACUGAAGCAGCCUGCAAAUUUUACCUUUUGGUUUUAUCACUGUCAGUAUGGUUCCUCUCCUCCCCCCCACCCCCUUUUUAUUUACUUUUUGCUUGUUCUUCAUCCUUUUCUUGGACUUCACUUUGGGGCCUGUCUGGUUUCUUUUCCACCUUUCUAUUAUCUCUCUGCGCACUUUCUCAUCUGCUCUUCUAUCGCCAUGUGACAGCUGUGCCUGUGUAACUUUGUACCCUUCUUCGUGACUUUUUCUGUCUCUGUCUUUGUCUUGGUGUCUGUCUCUGUGUCUGUGCCUUUUGGAUUCCUGCUCCCAUUCCAUUUCAUGUUCUUUCUGUUCAUGUGGUAUGAAUCACUGUAACAUCUCUGGUGAUCCCCUUCACCCCUAUUAAAUGAUCGAUCCCAUGGCGGUUGGU